UUUGAUCCUGGCUCAGGACGAACGCUGGCGGCGUGCUUAACACAUGCAAGUCGAACGAUGAAAUCACUUCGGUGGUGGAUUAGUGGCGAACGGGUGAGUAACACGUGGGCAAUCUGCCCUUCACUCUGGGACAAGCCCUGGAAACGGGGUCUAAUACCGGAUACCACUUCGUCCCGCAUGGGACGGGGUUGAAAGCUCCGGCGGUGAAGGAUGAGCCCGCGGCCUAUCAGCUUGUUGGUGGGGUAAUGGCCUACCAAGGCGACGACGGGUAGCCGGCCUGAGAGGGCGACCGGCCACACUGGGACUGAGACACGGCCCAGACUCCUACGGGAGGCAGCAGUGGGGAAUAUUGCACAAUGGGCGAAAGCCUGAUGCAGCGACGCCGCGUGAGGGAUGACGGCCUUCGGGUUGUAAACCUCUUUCAGCAGGGAAGAA
rnacentral:rRNA from 1 species